GCUGCGGAAUCACAGUUUAGUUUGUAUAAACGAACAGUGUGUACCUAACCACGGUACAAAAUGGGUUUAAAUUUUAAAGGGAUUAGACCAGCAGUGCUGCACAUGUGCAAGCACUCGUUAAUUCUCUUCUUACACUACUACAUACUCAUCAAUGCGACAAGUCGUAUUUGUAUUUUCCGAUCUCAGAAUAUUGUUCUUCGUGACUGGAGGAUUUUCCCUAGAGGAAUAUUUCGUACGAUGGUGGCAGAGAUUCUGCUUGAGAUUCGGAGAUCAACCUCUUCUAUUUUUUACAGUUUGUACAACUGUAAUUUCCACGGUGGUGUAUUGGCUGAUAGGAAGUUUUUUCAUUGUGCUUGACAACACAGGAUGGCUCUCGAAAUACAAAGUGCAGCCGGGCACCAACCAGCCUCCGGAUUCUGCGAAGUUGCGCAAAGUGAUCAUCACCGUCUUAAAGAGCCAGUUGCUCUUCGCCACACCCUACACAGUGCUCGGAUAUUUUGCCCUGCAAAUCGUUGGAGGGCCGAUGACCAUGCAGCGCUUGCUUCAGGUGCCUUCUCUGGAGCGCAUUUUGCUGGAGCUCGCUUUUCACGAUUUCGUGUACGAAGUGACUUUCUACUUAUCGCACAAGCUGCUGCACACAAAGUGGCUUUAUAAGCGAGUUCACAAGACGCACCACGAAUGGGCGCCGCCGAUAGCGGUGGCAGCGGCAUACGCACACCCGUUUGAAUAUGUCGUAUCCAACACAACUCCCAUCAGCGCCGGCCCCAUUAUCAUUGGCUCCCAUCCUCUCUCUAUUUGGACCUGGGUAGCGUACCUCACGCUGCAAACCCUCACAGUGCACUCCAAUUACCAUUUGCCAGGAUUUCAAAAUCCUUUAUUUCACGAUUUUCACCAUGUCAAGUUCAAUCAAAAUUACGGUUCGGUGGGAUUCAUGGACCGAUUAUUUGGCACUGAUGAGCUUUUCCAAAAAAAUAAAAGCAAGAAAUAUUGGGACAAGUAGCACUUUGAAUUAGUAAA